UACGACUACAUAUCAGGCAUAUCAAUAAGCGGAGGAAAAGAAACUAACAAGGAUUCCCUUAGUAACGGCGAGUGAAGCGGGAAGAGCUCAAAUUUGAAAUCUUCAAGGUUUUACCUUGACGAAUUGUAGUUUAAAGAAGUGUUUUCUGUUGGAGUUUUGGUAAAAGUUCUUUGGAAUAGGACAUCAUAGAGGGUGAGAAUCCCGCUAUUUGACCAUUAUUUCCAGCUUUGUGAUACACUUUCAAAGAGUCGGAUUGUUUGGGAAUGCAGUCCAAAAUGGGUGGUAAAUUUCAUCUAAAGCUAAAUAUUGGCGAGAGACCGAUAGCGAACAAGUACCGUGAGGGAAAGAUGAAAAGAACUUUGAAAAGAGAGUUAAACAGUACGUGAAAUUGUCAAAAGGGAAGCGUUUGACACCAGUGUUGUUUUCUCGAAAAUCAAUUAAAAAUGGCUUGAUUUUGUGUUGUAUUGACCUUAAGAGCUUUCUUCACUUUUUUCAUGUCUUAUUUUUAAUGCACUUUUCGUUUAACAAGUCAACAUCAGUUUCUUCUGUUGUAAAAAGGUCAUUGGAAGGUGGCUUUCUUUUCGGAGAAAGUGUUUAUAGCCUUUGACUCCUGCAAUCGGAGAGACUGAGGUCUGCAGCGUAGAUCCUUUUGGAUUAGAUUCAUUUGUGCUAAGUUAUAGCUUUUUAUAGACAACAUGUUGACUAUAGUUUAGUCAUUGUAGCUUACUCGCUUAUGUAAUUUUACCUACGCUUAGGAUGUUGACGCGCGUGUGUGCGUG
rnacentral:rRNA from 1 species